rnacentral:rRNA from 1 species
UUAUCGUUUAUUUGAUAGUACCUUACUACUUGGAUAACCGUGGUAAUUCUAGAGCUAAUACAUGCUAAAAACCCCGACUUCGGGAGGGGUGUAUUUAUUAGAUAAAAAACCAACGCCCUUCGGGGCUUCUUGGUGAUUCAUGAUAACUUAACGAAUCGCAUGGCCUUGCGCCGGCGAUGGUUCAUUCAAAUUUCUGCCCUAUCAACUUUCGAUGGUAGGAUAGUGGCCUACCAUGGUAUCAACGGGUAACGGGGAAUUAGGGUUCUAUUCCGGAGAGGGAGCCUGAGAAACGGCUACCACAUCCAAGGAAGGCAGCAGGCGCGCAAAUUACCCAAUCCCGACACGGGGAGGUAGUGACAAUAAAUACUGAUACAGGGCUCUUUUGGGUCUUGUAAUUGGAAUGAGUACAAUUUAAAUCCCUUAACGAGGAACAAUUGGAGGGCAAGUCUGGUGCCAGCAGCCGCGGUAAUUCCAGCUCCAAUAGCGUAUAUUAAAGUUGUUGCAGUUAAAAAGCUCGUAGUUGAACCUUGGGCCUGGCUGGCCGGUCCGCCUCACCGCGUGCACUGGUCCGGCCGGGCCUUUCCUUCUGGGGAGCCGCAUGCCCUUCACUGGGUGUGUCGGGGAACCAGGACUUUUACUUUGAAAAAAUUAGAGUGUUCAAAGCAGGCCUUUGCUCGGAUACAUUAGCAUGGAAUAAUAGAAUAGGACGUGCGGUCCUAUUUUGUUGGUUUCUAGGACCGCCGUAAUGAUUAAUAGGGAUAGUCGGGGGCAUCAGUAUUCAAUUGUCAGAGGUGAAAUUCUUGGAUUUAUUGAAGACUAACUACUGCGAAAGCAUUUGCCAAGGAUGUUUUCAUUAAUCAGUGAACGAAAGUUAGGGGAUCGAAGACGAUCAGAUACCGUCGUAGUCUUAACCGUAAACUAUGCCGACUAGGGAUCGGGCGAUGUUAUCAUUUUGACUCGCUCGGCACCUUACGAGAAAUCAAAGUCU